UCCGGCCUACGGGGCGCAGCAGUGAGGAAUAUUGGUCAAUGGUCGGGAGACUGAACCAGCCAAGCCGCGUGAGGGAGGAAGGUACAGAGUAUCGUAAACCUCUUUUGUCAGGGAACAAAGACUGGGACGCGUCCCCGGAUGAGAGUACCUGAAGAAAAAGCAUCGGCUAACUCCGUGCCAGCAGCCGCGGUAAUACGGAGGAUGCGAGCGUUAUCCGGAUUUAUUGGGUUUAAAGGGUGCGUAGGCGGAGUGUCAAGUCAGCGGUAAAAUUUCGGGGCUCAACCCCGUCGUGCCGUUGAAACUGA
rnacentral:rRNA from 1 species